rnacentral:rRNA from 1 species
AACGCGAAAGCUUCCUUCGGGAAGCGAGUAGAGUGGCGCACGGGUGAGUAACACGUGGAUAAUCUGCCCGACGAUCUGGGAUAACAUUCCGAAAGGAGUGCUAAUACCGGAUAAGCCCACAGGCUCUUCGGAGUUUGCGGGAAAAGGUGGGGACCUUCGGGCCUACCGUCGUCGGAUGAGUCCGCGUCCCAUUAGCUAGUUGGCGGGGUAAUGGCCCACCAAGGCGACGAUGGGUAGCUGGUCUGAGAGGAUGAUCAGCCACACUGGAACUGAGACACGGUCCAGACUCCUACGGGAGGCAGCAGUGGGGAAUUUUGCGCAAUGGGGGAAACCCUGACGCAGCAACGCCGCGUGAGUGAUGAAGGCUUUCGGGUCGUAAAGCUCUGUCAGAGGGGAAGAAACUCUUGUGGUCGAACAGGCCACAGGAUUGACGGUACCCUCAAAGGAAGCACCGGCUAACUCCGUGCCAGCAGCCGCGGUAAUACGGAGGGUGCGAGCGUUGUUCGGAAUUAUUGGGCGUAAAGCGCGUGCAGGCGGCCUGUUAAGUCUGAUGUGAAAGCCCGGGGCUC